AGUCGACGAUGAAUCUUCUAGCUUGCUAGAAGUGGAUUAGUGGCGCACGGGUGAGUAAUGCAUAGGUUAUGUGCCCUUUAGUCUGGGAUAGCCACUGGAAACGGUGAUUAAUACUGGAUACUCCCUACGGGGGAAAGUUUUUCGCUAAAGGAUCAGCCUAUGUCCUAUCAGCUUGUUGGUGAGGUAGUGGCUCACCAAGGCUAUGACGGGUAUCCGGCCUGAGAGGGUGAUCGGACACACUGGAACUGAGACACGGUCCAGACUCCUACGGGAGGCAGCAGUAGGGAAUAUUGCUCAAUGGGGGAAACCCUGAAGCAGCAACGCCGCGUGGAGGAUGAAGGUUUUAGGAUUGUAAACUCCUUUUGUUAGAGAAGAUUAUGACGGUAUCUAACGAAUAAGCACCGGCUAACUCCGUGCCAGCAACCGCGGUAAUACGGAGGGUGCAAGCGUUACUCGGAAUCACUGGGCGUAAAGAGUGCGUAGGCGGGGUAAUAAGUCAGAUGUGAAAUCCUGUAGCUUAACUACAGAACUGCAUUUGAAACUGUUACUCUGGAGUGUGGGAGAGGUAGGUGGAAUUCUUGGUGUAGGGGUAAAAUCCGUAGAGAUCAAGAGGAAUACUCAUUGCGAAGGCGACCUGCUGGAACAUUACUGACGCUGAUGCACGAAAGCGUGGGGAGCAAACAGGAUUAGAUACCCUGGUAGUCCACGCCCUAAACGAUGGAUGCUAGUUGUUGCCUUGCUUGUCAGGGCAGUAAUGCAGCUAACGCAUUAAGCAUCCCGCCUGGGGAGUACGGUCGCAAGAUUAAAACUCAAAGGAAUAGACGGGGACCCGCACAAGCGGUGGAGCAUGUGGUUUAAUUCGAAGAUACGCGAAGAACCUUACCUAGGCUUGACAUUGAUAGAAUCUACU
rnacentral:rRNA from 1 species